rnacentral:tRNA from 1 species
GGACGCAUAGUUCAGUGGUAGAAUAUCUCGUUUACACCGAGAAGGUCCCAGGAUCGUUCCCUGGUGCGUCCA